UACGUAGGGUGCAAGCGUUGUCCGGAAUUAUUGGGCGUAAAGAGCUCGUAGGCGGUUUGUCGCGUCUGCUGUGAAAACUCGGGGCUUAACUCCGGGCCUGCAGUGGGUACGGGCAGACUAGAGUGCGGUAGGGGAGACUGGAAUUCCUGGUGUAGCGGUGAAAUGCGUAGAGAUGGGGGAGAACACUCGUGGCGAAGGCGGCCAGCUAGACCAGUUCUGACACUGAGGCGCGACAGCGUGGGGAGCAAACAGG
rnacentral:rRNA from 1 species